ACUUUAAACAAGUCAUCUAAGAGGGGAAGAAGGACUGGAUAAUUGUAAGCCAUCACAAAUAAGUUGACACAGUUCAGUGCUGUACUGGCUUUCAAGUAACCAAAAGGAUGACCAAGUUCACUAUAUUUUGCACUAUUGCUCACAUACACCUGCCAACAUGUUUGAGGAGAUUUCCUUUCCAGGAUAAAUUUAGUCAGUGGUGAAGGUUCCAACUCAUAUUUGUCACAAGGAAGUUUAUCAAUAACCAUUGGUUCACAGUCUGUACAGGAAAACUUCACUACAGGAUGAGAUGUAUGAGGUGGUAGUGCUGGAGAAUUUUGAUCUGGCCAAAAAGACUCUGGAACAGGCCAAUGACCUAUAGGAAUCCCAGUUUUAGGAUUUGGUCUGACAUAUACAAGUUUGUGACAGCUAUGCCAAGGCUGAGAUCCAAAAGGCCUUGAAAUAUCUGGCUGCCCAUCUUCUACAGGGGAAGGAUCUGGUCCUGCUUUUUCAAAGUUUAUUACCACCCCACUUUGUACUUUCUGCACCAAGGACUCUAGACACUGAUUAAGUGUUCUUGGAGAACACACAAAAUAUGAAUGGCUGCCUGUCACUUCACAUAUUGGUGUGAUUGCAUAGUCAUCUAAAGGCACACCUGUCAACUGUUCUGAUUCUACUGACAUGGUGCCGGGCAACCGCCAACACUAAUGCACAGAGUCUCUGAUCCCAAUGAAAAGGUUCCUUGGUCGAUUCACUUCCAGGCAAAGGAGAAUUAAGAGGUAAAUGAAGCUCAUCCUGGACUCCACUGGUGAUGGUCAACUUGCUCCCAUCAAUAACUGUGAUAAUUAUUUCUGACUUCAAGAAAAAAGGGGUUCUUCUCUGCCCAUAGUUGUCUAUGCCAGUUACUAAUCUAUUUAAAUUUAAUAAAUCAAAAGCUGUCCUUAGGGAUUGGCCAAGAGUCGUAAGUCCUUCAGCCUGAAGGUUUUUCAGUUCAUUCAUAAACGUUGCAUGGUUUUCUUUCCAUUCAGCCUUGAUAGCAUAGGGCGGCUCUUCGAAAGUGACCAGCAUAUACCUGUCUCCUCUGCAGGCAGGGCCCCGGGCACGGAGCUGCGGGAUGGGAGGAGGAACAGGGCGGGCGAGAGGGAAGCACAGAGGCGAGGUUAGGAGGCAGAGAAGGGGCGCCCAGAGGCCCCGCCGCCCCCAUAGUACUGCACACGCAGCUGCCACCCUUCCAGGCCGCUCCCCCCACACAGAUUGCUCCC
rnacentral:lncRNA from 1 species